UACGGAGGAUGCGAGCGUUAUCCGGAUUUAUUGGGUUUAAAUGGUGCGUAGGCGGGAUGCCAAGUCAGCGGUAAAAAUGCGGUGCUCAACGCCGUCGAGCCGUUGAAACUGGCGUUCUUGAGUGGGCGAGAAGUAUGCGGAAUGCGUGGUGUAGCGGUGAAAUGCAUAGAUAUCACGCAGAACUCCGAUUGCGAAGGCAGCAUACCGGCGCCCUACUGACGCUGAGGCACGAAAGCGUGGGUAUCGAACAGG
rnacentral:rRNA from 1 species